rnacentral:rRNA from 1 species
CCACGGGUGGCUGCAGUGGGGAAUAUUGGACAAUGGGCGAAAGCCUGAUCCAGCCAUGCCGCGUGUGUGAAGAAGGCCUUCGGGUUGUAAAGCACUUUCAGUGGGGAAGAAAGCCUUGGGGCUAAUACCCUCGAGGAAGGACAUCACCCACAGAAGAAGCACCGGCUAACUCCGUGCCAGCAGCCGCGGUAAUACGGAGGGUGCGAGCGUUAAUCGGAAUUACUGGGCGUAAAGCGCGCGUAGGCGGUCUGAUAAGCCGGUUGUGAAAGCCCCGGGCUCAACCUGGGAACGGCAUCCGGAACUGUCAGGCUAGAGUGCAGGAGAGGAAGGUAGAAUUCCCGGUGUAGCGGUGAAAUGCGUAGAGAUCGGGAGGAAUACCAGUGGCGAAGGCGGCCUUCUGGACUGACACUGACGCUGAGGUGCGAAAGCGUGGGUAGCAAACAGGAUUAGAUACCCUAGUAGUC